UCUCCUCGGUCCUCUCUUCCGGCCCUCCUUCAAGGCGGCGCGCACACCUCCUUCAGAUUUCCUCAUGGGAAUUCCUUUCCGAAGUUCCGGCGCGGGAAGUCGUCCUUCUUGCCUCGCCUCGCCGGCACCGGCUGCUGCGGUUCGUUGCGGCUGAUUGGACGAUGCGCGGAUAUACGUGCAUGAUGCAUCCGCGUUCGCCAAUCCCGCGAUUCCGCCGACUAAUUUUGUCGGCUUUUAGUUAUUUAAUCAUAGUGAAAAAGAGCCGAGCGAGACGACGCGUCUGUCGAUUAACACAUUAUAAGUUUGAGAUAAUUUAGGAUAAGCGCGCCGCUCGUUAAUGAAUCUCUUAUGUAAACACAGCUAUCCCUUGUAAAACUUUAUUCGACAAGACUUUCCGUAAAUCUUUUUUAUUCUAAAGAGAAUCUCAGCGUUCCAGUGCUAAUAAUAAUCAUUAGCGUGUGAUUUUGAACCGAAUUGAUAAAAGAAAAUUUAAGAAGAACAUGAGAUUCGCACUUAGUGCGCAAUCUCCUCGGAAUAGGUUGGAGAAAAAGGUGAAUUUUUCCACGCGCAGAAUCGUAAAAAUCCCGUAACCGGGCGAAGGUGGGGUGGUCCAAGGGCAGGAAAGGCGGUGGGACAGAAGAGAACGGGGUUGAAAAAUAAGGGCGAGGUCAGUCGGACGCGAGCCGCGGAAAAAUUCGCGUUAAUUUCAAAGGUCGACGUCGUGUUUUCGAUGCGUUAAAGUGCAUUGUCCCCUCCGUUGAAAUACCGGUGCACUUUGGAUCCUCCGUAUGCAUCCAGUCUAGUUCGACAUCAAAUCGAAUCGGGAGAAUAUACCUACCUCUCAAUGAAUAAAACAGCGUCAAAUCAUAGCCAGAAAUAUCCGACAUGUUGGAAGACAUUAGUGAGAUUCUUCGGUAAGGGCUACGACCGCCCCUUUCUUCGGUCUCCGUUGAAAAUAUUUCCGGCCAUUUUUCGUCCCCACCAGCGCAGUCCACCCUCUGAAAGAAAAGUACCAAAGAUGGGGUAGUCAUAAAGGAGUAAAACAAUGGAAAAAGUACCGCCAUCUUUAAUUCUGUCCCUAUUCGUCGCAUCAAGAAUAAAAGUUCAAAUAUUUGAGAAGAAAGGAACAAAGUAAAAUCGAUAGAUUCAGUUUUGUAAAACUUUUUGAACUGUUUUAGUUAACACAUUAUUUUUACCAACAUCAUUAUCGCAAAUUGUUUUAUUGUAAGAAAAAAUAGAUCAUGCAUCAGUCGUAUUAAUAUUGAGUUAAAAAUUAUAGUUUAUCAUAAUAAUUAUUAAUUUUCUUAUUUAAAUUUAUAAAAAUAAUUUCAAGCUGUAAUUAUAAAUUAUAACCCAAAAAUGAUUACUUUUAGAAAUUAUAGAUAGAUAAUUCCGUGUUUAUGUUGCACAUUAUAACCGACAGUUAAUCGUAGAAUAUCUAACUGGUAUAACAUAUCUUGGAACAUCAUAGAAAUCAACAGGUUCGAGUCGUAGUUACUAGAUGGAGAUAUUAGCGUAAGUAACUAAUUUGUGUGCUAAUUUAAUUAUUGAAUUAUUGUGCACAAUCCAGAUUCUUUAGUAAAUAAAGGUAAUUUUGCUAUUGUACUACAUACUCAUUGAUACAAAAAUAGUGUUAAAAAUGUAGUCUUAAUUACGACAUUAUUUUUAUCAUUUGCCGUCAUAGGCGAGAAUUUGAUAAGAUAAAAAAAACAUUUUAUGACUAAAUUGCAAUAUGUACAAUCCAGUUUUAUAUAUUUUUUAAACUAAUAAUUAAUUUAAAAUAAUUUAAUAAUUUCUCUUAAGAUUACAAAAAAUACUUUUAUUACAUUUUUACUUAAAAUUAUUUAAUUUUAAAAAUAUACAUUACUCAACUGUCAUAUUUUAGAGUAUUUUAUUUUACUGAGAACUUAUUUACGUAGAUAAUUAUCCUUAAUUGUGGCUUUGUUCUUUUAUAAAAUUACAGUGACGUCUGUUUUAUCGAUAAAAACUGUUGUGAUACAUAAGUUACAAUUCCUUUUACACAAUUAAAAUACACAUCUUAAUGUAUGUAGGUUUAUUUUUGCCAAAAACAGGAAUUAAAAAAUUAUAUAUUUCCUUAAUAUGACCAAAACUGUCCAACCAAAAUUCACUGAAAUAUUUAUUUUGUAGAAAAAAAUAUACAGAUUAUAUAUGUAAAAUAAAAACAGAAAGAGAGAGAGAGAGAGAGCAAAGCCAAGUUUAAAAUUAAAUAAAUAAUGUUGAAUCGUUAGAAUUAAGUUUAAAAGCCUAAUUUAAAAGAAUAUUUAACAAACUGUAUACAUGUAUAUAUGAAAUUUCAAUGUGUAGUAUGUAAGAAUCUGUUGAUGUUUCAUACGGUUUUCGAAAUAUAGGUACUGAAAUUAAUCUUAUCUUCUUAAUUUCAUUAGUUUUUUAUGUAUGUGAUAGAUAGUUUAUACACAUAUUAGUUUUAUUAGAGUUAUUUCAAGAUAAUAUUUACGUUUUCCUGCUUGAUCUCAUCAGGCAUUAGUCGUAUUGCAUUUUAUACAUGCUAUGCAUAUAGAUUUUUUACUUUCCACGCGUAGCAAGGUCUAUCCUACACUUCUUUCCCCUCUCCCCUUCUUUCAAAGCGAAAUAAGGUCUACAAUUUGUACUGUUAUAUUUUUCAAACUUUCUUAUCGAUAACGUUUCAAUAAACAGUGAUCGUCGAUUAAAAUUUUUACAGAUUACUUCAAUUUCAAAAUCGUGACCCUGAUAGCAUUGAUAAGAAAUAUAUAAAUGUCAAGAGCUCUCAAAAUUUAAAUACGAUAAUACAAAUUUACAGUUAGCAGACCGUAAAAUAAAAGUAUAACUUUAAAACACAAAUGUUUUGAUUUAUUUAGAGUCAUCAUUGGCGAAAGAAUAUUUCAUGAAAGUUCUUUACCAAAUAUAUCAAGAUCAAAGAGAUUAUGGAAAGUGUUCAUUAUUUUAAAUCAAAUUUAAUAUUUUCUGAUUUUAUAAAAAUAAAGUUUUAUUUUAGGCGAACUGACUUCGAAUUUUAUAUAAGUAUAUCUCGAAAACAAGACCGCUGUACAAAACUGCUGAUCAAUUUAGAAGAUCAGUACUUUUUCAACUGUAUAACAUUUGUUUCAAGACCAAAGUCAUCGGAGCGAUGUCUUCUAAUGUAAAGAUGUAAAGAUGUAGGAAAAAAAUGGAAAAAUUUAAUGCUAGAAUAAUUUCAUGACUGCAAACAACUUUAUAUAAUCUCAUCACUGCUCAAUCAUAUAAUAUGUAUAAGUCAUUAUUACAUAUUUUACAUAUUUUAAAUUUUAUUUGUGUGGAAUGUAUAUUAACAGAAUAAAAAUAAUUUUUAAAAA